UACGUAGGGGGCAAGCGUUGUCCGGAUUUAUUGGGCGUAAAGAGCGUGUAGGCGGCUAGACAGGUCCGCUGUGAAAACUCGAGGCUCAACCUCGAGACGUCGGCGGAAACCAUCUGGCUAGAGUCCGGAAGAGGAGAGUGGAAUUCCUGGUGUAGCGGUGAAAUGCGCAGAUAUCAGGAAGAACACCCGUGGCGAAGGCGGCUCUCUGGGACGGUACUGACGCUGAGACGCGAAAGCGUGGGGAGCGAACAGG
rnacentral:rRNA from 1 species